UGGGGAAUAUUGCACAAUGGAGGGAACUCUGAUGCAGCGACGCCGCGUGAACGAAGAAGGCUUUCGAGUCGUAAAGUUCUUUUAUAUGGGAAGAUAAUGACGGUACCAUAAGAAAAAGCCCCGGCUAACUACGUGCCAGCAGCCGCGGUAAUACGUAGGGGGCUAGCGUUGUCCGGAAUCACUGGGCGUAAAGGGUUCGCAGGCGGAAAUGCAAGUCAGGUGUAAAAGGCAGUAGCUUAACUACUGUAAGCAUUUGAAACUGCAUAUCUUGAGAAGAGUAGAGGUAAGUGGAAUUUUUAGUGUAGCGGUGAAAUGCGUAGAUAUUAAAAAGAAUACCGGUGGCGAAGGCGACUUACUGGGCUCAUUCUGACGCUGAGGAACGAAAGCGUGGGUAGCAAACAG
rnacentral:rRNA from 4 species